GUGGCUGCCAUUGACAGCCGGAAGGCAGUAACUGACAGCCGGAUGGUAGGCGGGACCUGCCAUUCGGUGGGAGCCAAUCAGUAUCGUCCAACGUGGGCGCAACCAAUCAGAUAUAACUGCACCCAAACGCUUCAGUAAUGGUUGUGAUUGAUCAAAUGGUAAGUUCAGAAAUUGGUCAUCGGAGUAAUUAAUGUUUUUUUGCGUUUUGCCAGAUGCUGUCCUGUUGGAAAUUCUUCUUUACGUGAUCCUGGAGGAGGGGUGAUGCUACAUUAUUAAGUCUGUCUUUGGUUUGUUCCAAAUUCAGAAGUCUGUUGUACUGUAUACAGACUCCUUUCGAAAGAGGGCACAAUCCAGCUGGCUUGACUGAGUAUCUUCUUUUACAUAUUUGAUUAGAGGUUUAAAAAGGUGCCAUAACAUUACAUUUCUCAGUUGCCAUGUCUGAAUGUUUAUCUUUGUAAUAAUGCUGUUUUCAUGCUCUUCAUCUCAAUAUACAGGUGGAACAAAAUGGAGAACAAUUCUGAGCCAUGUCAGGAAUUCUUCAAAAUGUACACCCUGCAGACAAUGCGACGAGGUUUACAAAAACUGCUUACCAGGUCACUGCAGUCACCCGGAUAGAGUACGUAUCCAGACCAGAUGGUGGAUCGCACCUAGAAAGGACCUCUACAUCCCUGAAAGACAGCGGAGACCAGGACAACUAGAGCCCAGAUACAGAUCCCCUGUAAAGACCUUGUUUUUUUUCUCCAUUUUGUCACCGGUGGAGUUUUGGUUCCUUGUCGCCUCUGGCUUGCUUCGUUGUGGUCACUUCAUUUACAGUGAUAUCAUUGACAUGAUUGCAAACGAUUCCACAGAUACUAUUUAAACUGAACUGAGCUGAAGGAUGACCUCACUGAAUUGAAUGAUAAACUGUCUUUUAAACUGACUACAAACUGAGUUUACUAAUGUCCUUCUGCAUUAUUGACUGACACACUAUUUUUCUAUUUAAUACUGUAAAGUUGCUUUGCUUUGAUCUGUAUUAUUAAAAGCACUAUAUAAAUAAACGAUGCUUGACUU